rnacentral:rRNA from 1 species
AGGAAACUCGGGCUAAUACCGGAUGUGGUGCCCAGACAUAAGUCUGGUCACUAAAGGUAGCUUCGGUUUCCGCAUUGGGAGGGGCCCGCGGCCCAUUAGCUUGUUGGUGGGGUCAAGGCCUACCAAGGCAACGAUGGGUAGCUGGUCUGAGAGGACGAUCAGCCACACUGGGACUGAGACACGGCCCAGACUCCUACGGGAGGCAGCAGUGGGGAAUCUUGCGCAAUGCGCGAAAGCGUGACGCAGCAACACCGCGUGAGGGAAGACGGCCUUAGGGUUGUAAACCUCUUUCAGAUGGGACGAAGGUUGUCCGGUUAAUAGCCGAGAUGAUUGACGGUACCGUCAGAAGAAGCUCCGGCUAGCUACGUG